CUGCCGUACAUUAAAACAAGCUACAUCAGAGAAAGUUUAUUGUCUUUUUAAGUAUUAUUUGGAAAAAAAUCUUAACUAUGUACAUAUAUAUUUAAAACUACCUAGAAUAUAUUUUCAACAAUAGAAAAUCAAAUGAAGUAAUAAAUGCUGUGGUCCGAAUAUCUGUGUCCUCUUCAGAUUUUUAUGUUGCAAUCUUAACCUUAAGUUAAUGGCAUUAAGAGGUAAGUCCUGUGGGAGGUGAUACACUGAUGGGGACAUCCCAUUAAGUAACCAGUGGGCUAAGGCAGCUCAUUUGCCAUUUCUACAGUGUGAGAAUGCAGCAACAAGGUGCCAGCUAUGAAGCAAAGAGCCCUUACCAGACAAUGAAUCUACUGACAACUUGAUCUUGGACUCUUCAGCUUCCCAAACUGGUUACCAACUAUAUCACAUAAUGGUCCUAAGGAUUAAAUGAAAAAAAAUGCAGUAAGAGCAUUAAAUUGAAGCCAAGGGACUGAAAUAAGAAACUCCAGAGAACAACAAGAGGAACUGAAAUUGCAUGGUCAUUAGAAGGCAUCUUAAGAAUAACUGUGUAGCAGAGAAUGAG
rnacentral:lncRNA from 1 species